rnacentral:rRNA from 1 species
AGCCUAGCGCUAAGGCUUAACGUGUGGUUGUUGCCUCGGUGGCAAUCAUUAUAUAAAGCGUUAAGCGGUGCAGCGUUACAAACUCUGAUGUUUAGUGCUAUCGAUGGUAGUACGGAGAAGGGGCAACCUGGUGAACGUACUGCCUUUUGGGCCUAGCGUACAAGUCCCAUUGACUUGGGCUAAUUCCUAUAUGUGCAUGUGUUUGGGGCAACUUGAAUGCGUGCAUGAGCCAAAGAGGGUGAAAGUCCCCUAAUGCGCAGGUAUUGGUAACACGAAUCGGAGCAGUGGCGUCGGCGUGUAAAAGCGUCGGCGUUGCGGUUUGUUAGAGUCGGGUUGCUUGAGAGUGCAACCUAAAGAGCGAGGUAAACUGCUCGUAAGGCUAUUGAAAAAUACGGCUACGACACCGAUAGCAAACAAGUACCGUGAGGGAAAGUUGCAAAGUACUUUGAAGAGAGAGUUAAAAAGGGCGUGAAACCGCUGGCUGGUAAACGAGUGGAGCCACGAAGUCGUUUCGUAGAAUACGGGGCGCAAAUUCAGUCAAUGUAUACUUGUAAUGCAUUGGCGUAUUUUUGCUUGUCUCGCUAUGUAAGCGUACACUGCAACCAAUUAGACGGCCAAUUGUGGAAACAGUGUGCAAUUUAAUAGGGAAACCUGUUGAUUGUAUGCGCCAAAAUUUGUGUAUCUACCGUAGGUAGCCUGAUUAUGAUCUUGUAUUGUAUUUGGGUGUAUGACGUUUGUACGAUGCGUGAACUACAAUUGGGCACUGAUUGGCAAAAUGAAAAUCGAAUCGCAAGAUUCGUUUGCUCAUAAAAAGCGGCCAACACGGUCGGCGGGCACAAUUGUACGCUAUGAGUAUAAGCUUAGUAUCUUUGAAUUCAGGCACGUAUAUUGUUGGUGGGCUUGCUUGUCAAUAUAUGCGCUGUUUCCUGUCUAAUCGGGUAUUAACUUUGCUUGUAGUUUGAUGCAAUUGCUACGAUAGCAUCGUCGACCAUAGUGGGUUUGCAAUCUUAUUGGCAGUGAGUAGGUCGGCUUUCCACACGACCCGUCUUGAAACACGGACCAAGGAGUCUAGUUAAGUAUCGAGUCGAUCGGUCUUGAUUAGGCCAGACUGUCAGGAGGUUAGUGUGCAGUCAAAAGCAUGCUAACCAUUUAGUUCUGACAAAACAAAUAUAAAUGACGGCAUAGUGAAAUCAAAUUAUAUGUGAUCUGAGGUCUAUAACAACGGCCUACAGCGCAACAUAUGCCCACUCGUAUGGUUAUACGCGCAAGUGUUAACCGGGUGGAGCAAAGAGAUACUUGAUUGGUACCCGAAAGAUGGUGAACUAUUCCUGGCCAGGUUGAAGCCAGAGGAAACUCUGGUGGAGGACUGUAGCGAUUCUGACGUGCAAAUCGAUCGUCAGAGCUGGGUAUAGGGGCGAAAGACUAAUCGAACCAUCUAGUAGCUGGUUCCCUCCGAAGUUUCCCUCAGGAUAGCAAGCUCUCGGUGAAAACGUGAAUCAGUUUCAUCUGGUAAAGCGAAUGAUUAGAGGUCUUGGGAGCGAAACGCUCUCAACCUAUUCUCAAACUUUAAAUGGGUGAGAUGUACGACGUACUUGACUGACGCCGUAUAUAUUCAUAACGAAUGUAUAGAGAGCUUAGUGGGCCAUUUUUGGUAAGCAGAACUGGCGAUGCGGGAUGAACCGAAAGCGAAGUUAAGGUUGCCGAUAAUGGUGUUGACAAAUAAACACUAGCUUCAUUCAUGAGAUCCCAGAAAAGGUGUAAGUUGCUAAAGACAGCAAGGACGUGGCCAUGGAAGUCGGAAACAUCUAAGGAGUGUGUAACAACUCACUUGCCGAAGCAACUUGCCCUGAAAAUGGAAGCAGCUCGAAUGAUGAACCUAUACUUUGCCGUUGAAUUAUCUAUGCGUUUAAAUACGAUUAGUUAUGAUUCAACGUGUAGGAGGGUUGUGUUGGUAGCGUUGAAGGCUAUGAGGGAGUGAUCCUGGCUGGAGCUGCCAAUAGUACAGAUCUUGGUGGUAGUAGCAAAUACUCAAGUGAGACCCUUGAGGGCCAACGUGGAGAAGGGUUCCAUGCUAACAGCAAUUGGACAUGGGUCAGUCGGUCCUAAGAGAAUGGCGAAAGCUAUUUCUGAAUCAAAGGCAGUGUAUGCAAAAAUAUCGAAUAUAUGUUGAAAUCGUUUAUAUAUAUAUAUAUAUAGAUGUGUGCGUAUGUGCAAUGUGUGUUUAUACGCAUAUUUUCAUAUCACAUGUUUGUGUAUAAACGUACAAAAAGAUAUAUUAGAGAACACUGCAUGACUCGAAAGGGAAUUAGGUUAAUAUUCCUAAACCAAGAUGGGGAGAUUGGUAGCUGUGCGGUUGUUCACUCAACUGUGCGCUAUCUAAGGCGGUAACGCAAACAAGCACGAUGACGCCGGCGGCAGUCCUGGGAAGAGUUGUCUUUUCUUUAUAAGCUUACUGAGUUUUUCAACGAGACCUUGGAAUCGAAUCAUUCGAAGAUAAGGU